GUCUCAUAUCUUGCAAGGGACCAUGGCAAGGUUUGGCAAAAGUGGGGAAUUCCUGUGAACAUCUGCCCUGGGGAAAGCAGGAGCCCGCUUCUCUCAGUUUGUGAAUCACCCGGAAAAGUCAGCCACAGGUUAUAAGGGACUGAGCCUAACUUCUUUGCUACCUUAGAAGCCGCCUAGAAAGCAGAAAUGGGAAUGGAAUUGACCAUCUGCAUCCUUAGUAAUGGGCAAACUCCCCAAGUGCCUGUUUGUCUACCCUCGGACUUGGACAUCUUCCUUUUUUCUUUCUUUUUUAAAAAAGAUUUAUAUAUUUUAUGUGAGUACACUGACUCUGUUUUUGGACAUUCCAGAAGCAUCGGAUCCCAUUACAGAUGGUUGUGAGCCAUCAUGUGGUUGCUGGGAAUUGAACUCAGGACCUCUGGAAGAACAGACAGUGCUCUUAACCACUGAGCCAUCUCUCCAGCCCUACACAGUUUCUUCUUAUAAGUUAGCUGGAACACUUAAAAAGUGGAAGCCACUGGUAGGCAUGAAGGCGCUCUCUCUCUCUCUCUCUCUCUCUCUCUCUCUCUGUGUGUGUUUCUUUCUUUUUGGUUUUUCAAGAUAGGAUUUCUCUGUAUACUCCUGUCUAUCUGUCCCGGAACACAUCCUGUAGACCAGGCUACCAGGCUGGCCUCAAACUCACAGAGAUCCUCCUGCCUCUGUCUCUCGAGGGCUAGGAUCAAAGGUGUACAGCACAACCGCAGGGCACAUAAAGGUAUUUCUAAGCAUCUUUAUGACCACCCCUGGAUAUAGAUGACACGGGGCUGUGCCAUGAACAGCAGAGGUUUGUAGCUGUACGUUCAUUGCACAUCAUAACCAAGAUUCAGAAUGUUAAGUUACAAUUUCAUCCCCAGAGUCACAGAGUUCCCGUAAACUGCAUGGAACAGUACUUUCUUCUUGAUUGCUUUUCAGACUGAAUGAAGAAGAGGAAGAGAGGGUUGCUGCUUAUCACAGAGUUCACACAGGAAGGACACAGCAGGCGUUGUGUCUGAUAGGCAGUCCUUUUGACCCCUGUCAGGGGAGGCAUUGGUAAAGGCAUUGGUAACACAGCCUCGCCACUGACUGUGAGCCCUGUCUGUCCACCCGUAACUCUGGGAAUGAGGGAAGCAAAGCCAAUUCCAGAGGUGCAGACAAAGAGCACCCUCCCCACGGAGCCCGCAUGAUAAGUGGCCCCAGAGAGCAUCCCUGUGAUCAGUCAGAGAGGCAGGCAAGUUAUUAGCUUAGCCCUGAACCUCCCACUUAAUGUAGGACCAGUGGUGAUGCUUAACAGACCCUGGCUGCGGUGACAAGCCUGGGCCCUGCUCGAGGAAAUCCAAUUGAAAGGCAGCCAAGAGGAACAACAAGCUAGAAACAGAUGUGCCGGCCACCAGGAUGUACACACGUUUAACCUGAACGUGUGGCUGGAGGGACACAGCCAUGAGCGCUCACUCUCAAUACAGGGGUGUCAGCUCUUCCCCAAUAUACCGAUUGUCAAGUUCAAUUACAACCAUCCACAUUUGUUUUGUCAAAUUUUUAGCAGUUCCUUUAAAAUAAGAUGUCAAACUGAUAAUAACAGCUAUUCAAGGAAUUCAAGAAACUUGAUUUAUCUACUGGGUUUUACCGAAACAUUUCAGUAAAGUCACACACUCCAGUUUCACAGUAACUGAAAGUUAUUAUUAUUAGUUUUUUUUAAAGCCACCUGGAUGAAGUUCAGCUCAUCUAACCAUUCUGUGACUUAGCGACACUUAGUUGAAACAUCCGUAAGGAGUUCCGUUUCUGUCCGUCCUUGUUUAGUCAGUCCUUGUCACUUAAAGCAGGGAAGGAACACUGGUAAGCACAGACAGAGAUCCUGAAACACAAGUGACACAAGUCAGUUAGUGCGACCUGGACACAGAUGGAGACACCUGAACAUCAGCAAUCUGUCUGUCACUCUCCUCUGGAAACAUUCCCUGCAUGGUUCUGCUGUUCUCCAACAGGCCUUGUAAAAGGUGCACAGGCUCACUGUCUUGAUUUUUCUCAAGGAAGAAAAACCAUACGCACUCCAAUGGAUCCUAACCAGAUCUAAUAUAGAACAGCUGUGUGCUUAUGAAAGCAUGGGGAAGAUUGAAAAGCACAGAUCAACGCAUCCCACACAGGAGCCAGGUUUGAUCAAACACGUUUUGGGGGUCACCGAGUUCAUAUCUGCUUGUGGAUUAUCUAUCGGAAUAUGUCAUUCCACAGAGAAGGGAGCAGCUAAAGGGAGCCUGCCCUGCCGUGUUCUGCCUGUAUGUGCUCUGAGACAUCCCAGAGGUAUUUAUGAGCUGGGUGAUCUUGAGCGAUGCUCGCUUGAAACCCAAGAACGACAGCAGAAAUAAAUUAACUGGAGAAUCU
ensembl:lincRNA